GACCCCAGGUCAGGCGGGCCACCCGC
rnacentral:rRNA from 1 species